GGUAGGUGUGCUUUUUUGGUUCAGCUACAGGCAAAGGCUUGUGAAUGGGAACUGCUGAGUUGUGGCCUUGAACCACUGAUUGAGCACCUGGGGAAAGGACCCAGUCAGCCCUGAGAGCACAGGUGACAGCAUUUGAGCUGUGUGAGUGGAAGGGGUGGAGCCUGGCUGCACUUCUUAGACCUCAUUUAAGGGCUGACUGCCACUGGGGAAAAGUAUUUUCUUGCAGAUUCCUCCUUCGUGAAGCUUUCCUCUGUGAACCUAGAAUCUUCUGAUAUGGGUGAGUAAUCUUCUUCCCUUUUGUUAUAGCACUUUUCUAUUGUAUCAACCCUAUCAUUUAAUCUCUGGUGAAACACCGUUUCCCAUCAUAUUAAUCUGUCCAAUUGCUAUAGGCCUGCCCUAGGAUUAGAGUGCAGGUAAAAAUGGCCAAGCAGGCACUUCUCAGUUUUGAUUCUUCUGGGCUGGGGUGAGGCUUAACUCAGGCUCAUGUUGGGUACAUGUUUUUUUGUUUUUUUGUUUUGGCUGCUUAGUAAAGUUUUGGCAUAUUAAAUUAAUUUGGGUAAAUAAGUAAAUCUAACCCUGAAUUAGAAAGCUGAAUAUUGCUUCAUUCUUCCAAUAAAAAUGAAUGUAUGUUGGUGCUAUGUUAGUCCUAACUACCCAUCAAAGUUAUUGCUAGAGGCUACUCUAUGGUUAACUCAAACACAGAUCUGGAAAAUUCUGCUCAGAAGCAUUUAACUCAUUAUUGAGAUACUGUUAAACUGACACAGAAGGAUGAGUACUCUUAAGCUUUAUAUUCUCAGGCAGAAGCCUGGUAGAAGUUUGUCACCUAUGUUUUAGUGAAGCACUUCCAUUACUGUGGCUGUUCUUGCUGGAGGUCAGCAAGCUCUGUGCGUUUUGGUCACCUUCAUCUGUUACUAAGUUGCUUCUGUACUUUUUGGCUUGAGUGCUUUCACAAACCUCUUCUCAAGGAAGGAGCAAAGGGAUAUCUUUUUAAAUGACUUGUAUGCUACUUAAUGUUUACAUCUUGUCUCUGUGUUUUGUAGUUCAUGUACAGUGUGUUAAUUGAUUACCUCAGUGUGCUGGUGUGACUCUAAGGAGUCACCAGGGAAAAUCCCCUUGAAUCGAGAGAUCUUGGAAUGUGGCUCAACAUGUAAAAGAUCUUCCAGAAAUAAUUUCUCAGCAGUCCCUGAUGUUCCUGAUUCUCAGUAUUGCUGUAAAAUUUGGGCAAAGAAGGAAGCAGAACUGCUAAUCAGAGCAUGCCUUUCUAAUUAACUGUUUUCCAGGUCCUCUUUAAUUCCUUCCCAGUUGAGCACUUGGCAGUAAUCUCAGCGCUAGAAAAAAAGUGUUUUUUUCAAUUAGCGGUUAUAUUUAGAGGGAACAUAAAAGGAGGGAGAGGACUCUGCAAGCUGAAGUUUUCUUCUAGGAGUUGAAUGAGACAAAAAUAAGUCAUGCUGUUGUGGGUGAAGGAAAAUAAAAAUUGCAAUCUUGGAUACCAGAAUGCAUAAAGAGGAAUGUAGCUUGCUUGAUAUAAAUGUUGAGGCAUACAAAAUAUAUUUGUCACCUUUCUGCUAUUUUCAGCACUGGAAAAGCAUCCGUUGGACUCCUCUGGUGCUGCAGUUAAUGAUGUGGUCCAGUUGCAAAGAAUUCAAAGAGAAACAUGGAGUAUAAUAAGAGGUCUCAAAUAUGACCAGGCAGUGCUACAGCUGAGUAUGAAGAGGGACAUCUGGCCUCAGGAAAUGAUGGCUUCCAGUGGGGGUGGCUUGCUGCAGGUUCAUGCUUAAGCUUCACAGUCUUGGAAGUCUGGAGCAUAAACAGUGGGUGAACUCCAAGAGGACAGCAUUGCAGUAGACAGCAUAGAACAAAGCUGCUGUGUUGGAUUGGAUAUGAUACCAAGAGAGUUUGGAGAAAAGUUAGCGGCAGACCGUCAGGACUGCAUUUGCCUGGAAGGUGGAAGUGGCAUCGUAUGCGAACCUCACAGAUGUCCCGAACAAAAUAAGAGGACUCGUUCUGGGAAAGGCUUCUAUGAAGUCACUGAAGUCAAGUCUGAAGAUCCCUGCUUGCAUAUGCAACACAAGUUUGAGCACAACUAAACCCCCCAAGUUUACGCUGGGAUUUGAAGUUUAUUCUUAUAUUCCCGGUGAUGAGUGCUGUCCCGUGUACCAGUGUGCAGUUCCCAAGAAGGUUUGUGUACAUUACAAAUGCUGAGUUCUUG